rnacentral:lncRNA from 1 species
GUAAGAAAACCAGACCUGAUUCUUUCAUGGGGGCCUUUCAUCAGAAACCUGGGGAACAUUCUGUGUGACCUCAUAAAGGACUGGGCCACCUAGGAUGGGACUCUGUUUUCUCACCUCUACAAGGGGAAGUUGUCUCAGGACACAUGGGCUGUUGUUCUUCAUGCAUGGAGUUAUAUACAUCCUGUACGCAGCUAAUAAGCUGGUUACAUAAUGCUAGUAUUUUUUGGAAAUCGGUCAACCAAGAGCUUGGCAGAGGUCUGCACAGUAAGCACGGUGCAGGCAGGGAUUCCUCACACUCCAGUGGAGACCCUGGGGCAGGACUUCCAGGAUAACAAGAGCAGGUGCACCUUUUCUAUCUUUGACUCCUCAAUGGAGCUGAAAUCCCAGGUGCAGCCCCAGGAUGAGCGUCUCCAGGACCACUUGGUGCCUCCUGCGUUCUCUGAUGAAGAGCCCCAGGCUCCAGCCCACGCUGAUGUCCCACCUGCAGAGCUCGUGCCAACUGCAACUGCAGCUCCCUCACCAGUUCUGACCCCACAACAAGAGCCAGGACCUGAAACCCCUUCUCCACCAGCUGCAGAGCUGCAACUCCUGGUGGCUCCACAGCAAGUGCUAUCUCUUGAGCUCUACUUGGGGUCAACCCUUGACCCAUACCUGGAAUUCCUCUCCCUUAUAGAUUUAGUUAUUAUUAUAUUUAUUGUUACUCUUAUUUUCCAGAGACAGGUCAAUGACAG